GUGGUUCUGAUAUUUACGAUUUAUUAGUAAUAAUCUGCCAUGUAUUGGACACUGAUGCCAGGUGUUAUGCUUUGCCUGCAUUAUGUCACUUAACUACCGUCUCCAACAACCCCAUUAGGGAGGUCAUAUUUAGCUCCAUUUUAUGUAUGAAGAAGCUGAGGCUCCAGCUCACCAAGCUCCUUCAGCUGCCAUGUGGAAGAGAUGGCAUUCCAAUAGCCUAUCCCACUCUAAAAUCCAUAUUCUUUGCAAUAUGGCACCUUAAAGCAGAGAAGGCACAAACCUGGGUGAUUGCUUUAAUUGAAUUUAAGAGACUAUAGGCAACGUCUCUUCGACUCCAGAAGGUUACUUAGUAAUAUGAGAUACAGCCUCCUUCACAGGUUGUUUGGGGAUUAGAGAAACCUGGGUAAAAGCCCUCGCAUAAUACCUGGAACGUGGUAGGUAUGAGUGAGUGGCACAGAAAGUGGUGUAGGACGGUGGUUAGCCUUGUUCUGGUUCAAAUCUCACCUCUUCCACUUAAUAGCUUUGGGGAGGCCAUGGAAACUCUCUGAGCCUAAAUUUCCUCCUGCGUAAAAUGGGGCUAAUAACUAACUUGUUCCAAGGAUUCAACGCGAUGAUCCUCGUGAAAGACCUCGCGCAACAGAAGAGAUCUGGCUUGGUGUCUUCAUCGAGAAAGUCUGACUGUCGUUAUUACUACUAGGAUUAUGUUUACCAUUCUCACGCUUUCUCCCCAGGAACAAGGACCUUGACAGGAGUUGUGGUAGGUGACAAAUAGGGAAGGAGGUGAACACCCCCACCUCCUCAGGGCCCCUCACACUCAGCAAGCCCGUCUGUAUAAUGAGACAGCCUCCCAGAAGUCAGUCAGACCCACCAUCUCCUCAUUUUCUCUCAGCUCAAGUUCCCUCAUGUGGUUUGAGUCAAGGAGCUAAUGAGCAGCGAGAGAGCAGCUCGGGCCUGAAGCAGGAGGCAGAAAGGAGAGGAAGAAGGGAGAUGCUGGGCUCCCUCGAGGCGGAGGAGACGGAGGCCGCCGUGCUGCUUGUUGGACCCCACGGAGAAAUACAAGCUGCCUGUACUAUUCAGUGAAAACAAAGGAAAACUUUAUCCACCAUGAUGACUAUGACAAGGAAAAGAACAGAGCAUCGGACACCUAAUAAUUGUUGCUCAAUCUGUGUUGAAUGGAGGAAGAAAGCUCAGACAGAGGGGAAGAGACUUGCAGAGAAAAAAACAAAAAACCCUCGAAAAUGUUAUUGGUUGGCAAUUGGAUUAGUGGUGAUUUUUAUACUUUCUCUAUCCUCUGGAGUUUUGUAUUGUGGUAAUGAGAAUAUUAUAAUAACAGGUAAUUAUGACUGAAA
rnacentral:lncRNA from 9 species